rnacentral:rRNA from 1 species
UACGUAGGGUGCAGGCGUUAAUCGGAAUUACUGGGCGUAAAGCGUGCGCAGGCGGUUUGCUAAGACAGGUGUGAAAUCCCCGGGCUUAACCUGGGAACUGCGCUUGUAACUGGCAAGCUGGAGUGUGGCAGAGGGGGGUGGAAUUCCACGUGUAGCAGUGAAAUGCGUAGAGAUGUGGAGGAACACCGAUGGCGAAGGCAGCCCCCUGGGUCAAGAUUGACGCUCAUGCACGAAAGCGUGGGGAGCAAACAGG